GCUGGUGUUUAUUACGCUGAGGUUCCACCUGUUCCCAUUCCGAACACAGAAGUUAAGCUCAGCAGUGCCGACAAUACUUGGCGGGAGACCGCCCGGGAAGAUAGGUCUAUGCCAGCA
rfam:Anaerotruncus sp. G3(2012) genomic scaffold acPFl-supercont1.10, whole genome shotgun sequence.